rnacentral:rRNA from 1 species
UACAGAGGGUGCAAGCGUUAUUCGGAAUUACUGGGCGUAAAGAGCGUGUAGGUGGUUUGAUAAGUCUGAUGUGAAAGCCCUGGGCUCAACCCAGGAAGUGCAUCGGAUACUGUCGAACUAGAGUAGAGGAGAGGAAAGCGGAAUUCCAGGUGUAGAGGUGAAAUGCGUAGAUAUCUGGAGGAACACCGGUGGCGAAGGCGGCAUCCUGGACCAAUUCUGACACUGAGGAGCGAAAGCCAGGGGAGCAAACGGG